GAUGAACGCUGGCGGCGUGCUUAACACAUGCAAGUCGAGCGGACAGACGAUGAGCUUGCUCCUCUGACGAGUGCCGCGCAAGGGAGUGUCACGCGUGGAUAACCCACCUAUAAGACUGGGAUAAUUUCGGGAAACCGGAUCAUAUACCGGAUAAGAUAUUGCACCACAUGGUUCAAUGGUGAGAGACGGCUUUGCUGUCACUUAUCGAGGCAUCCGCGCCGCAUUAGCUAGUUGGUACGGUAACGGGUUACCAAGGCAACGCUGCCUGGCCGACCUGAGAGGGUGGUCGGCCGCACUGGAAGUGGGACAGGCUCCAGAGGACUACGGGAGGGCGCAGUAGGCAAUCUGCGGCAAUGGGCGGGAACCUGACGGAGCAAGGCCACGCGAGUGAUGAAGACCUUCGGAGCGUAAUACCCUGUUUUUAGGGAAGAACAGAUGUGUCAGUUACUAAGGAGGUAGUGACGGUACCUACUCAAGAAGCAACGGCUAACUACGUG
rnacentral:rRNA from 1 species